AUUGAACGCUGGCGGCAUGCUUUACACAUGCAAGUCGAGCGGCAGCGCGGGGGCAACCCUGGCGGCGAGCGGCGAACGGGUGAGUAAUGCAUCGGAACGUAUCCUCGAGUGGGGGAUAACCCAGCGAAAGUUGGGCUAAUACCGCAUGAGCUCUGAGGAGGAAAGCGGGGGACCUGCGAGGGCCUCGCGCUGGAGGAGCGGCCGAUGUCCGAUUAGCUAGUUGGUGGGGUAAAGGCUUACCAAGGCGACGAUCGGUAGCUGGUCUGAGAGGAUGAUCAGCCACACUGGGACUGAGACACGGCCCAGACUCCUACGGGAGGCAGCAGUGGGGAAUUUUGGACAAUGGGGGCAACCCUGAUCCAGCCAUGCCGCGUGAGUGAAGAAGGUCUUCGGGUUGUAAAGCUCUUUCGGACGGAACGAAAUGGGCGGGACUAAUACUCCUGUCUGAUGACGGUACCGUAAGAAGAAGCACCGGCUAACUACGU
rnacentral:rRNA from 1 species